AUGAACGCUAGCUACAGGCUUAACACAUGCAAGUCGAGGGGCAGCAUGGUCUUAGCUUGCUAAGGCCGAUGGCGACCGGCGCACGGGUGAGUAACACGUAUCCAACCUGCCGUCUACUCUUGGACAGCCUUCUGAAAGGAAGAUUAAUACAAGAUGGCAUCAUGAGUCCGCAUGUUCACAUGAUUAAAGGUAUUCCGGUAGACGAUGGGGAUGCGUUCCAUUAGAUAGUAGGCGGGGUAACGGCCCACCUAGUCUUCGAUGGAUAGGGGUUCUGAGAGGAAGGUCCCCCACAUUGGAACUGAGACACGGUCCAAACUCCUACGGGAGGCAGCAGUGAGGAAUAUUGGUCAAUGGGCGCAGGCCUGAACCAGCCAAGUAGCGUGAAGGAUGACUGCCCUAUGGGUUGUAAACUUCUUUUAUAAAGGAAUAAAGUCGGGUAUGGAUACCCGUUUGCAUGUACUUUAUGAAUAAGGAUCGGCUAACUCCGUGCAGCAGCCGCGGUAAUACGGAGGAUCCGAGCGUUAUCCGGAUUUAUUGGGUUUAAAGGGAGCGUAGAUGGAUGUUUAAGUCAGUUGUGAAAGUUUGCGGCUCAACCGUAAAAUUGCAGUUGAUACUGGAUAUCUUGAGUGCAGUUGAGGCAGGCGGAAUUCGUGGUGUAGCGGUGAAAUGCUUAGAUAUCACGAAGAACUCCGAUUGCGAAGGCAGCCUGCUAAGCUGCAACUGACAUUGAGGCUCGAAAGUGUGGGUAUCAAACAGGAUUAGAUACCCUGGUAGUCCACACGGUAAACGAUGAAUACUCGCUGUUUGCGAUAUACGGCAAGCGGCCAAGCGAAAGCGUUAAGUAUUCCACCUGGGGAGUACGCCGGCAACGGUGAAACUCAAAGGAAUUGACGGGGGCCCGCACAAGCGGAGGAACAUGUGGUUUAAUUCGAUGAUACGCGAGGAACCUUACCCGGGCUUAAAUUGCAGAUGAAUUACGGUGAAAGCCGUAAGCCGCAAGGCAUCUGUGAAGGUGCUGCAUGGUUGUCGUCAGCUCGUGCCGUGAGGUGUCGGCUUAAGUGCCAUAACGAGCGCAACCCUUGUUGUCAGUUACUAACAGGUUCCGCUGAGGACUCUGACAAGACUGCCAUCGUAAGAUGUGAGGAAGGUGGGGAUGACGUCAAAUCAGCACGGCCCUUACGUCCGGGGCUACACACGUGUUACAAUGGGGGGGUACAGAGGGCCGCUACCACGCGAGUGGAUGCCAAUCCCAAAAACCUCUCUCAGUUCGGACUGGAGUCUGCAACCCGACUCCACGAAGCUGGAUUCGCUAGUAAUCGCGCAUCAGCCACGGCGCGGUGAAUACGUUCCCGGGCCUUGUACACACCGCCCGUCAAGCCAUGGGAGCCGGGGGUACCUGAAGUGCGUAACCGCGAGGAGCGCCCUAGGGUAAAACUGGUGACUGGGGCU
rnacentral:rRNA from 1 species